rnacentral:tRNA from 1 species
UAGGAUUUAGUUGAUACACAACAUUAAAUUGCAAGUUUAAAGGAAUAUAAUUUAAUUCUAU